GUGCUGGCUUCAGCAGCACAUGUACUAAAAUUGGAAUGACACAGAGAAGAUUAGCAUGGCCCUUGCACAAGGAUGACAUGCAAAUUCAUGAAGCUUCCAUAUGUAAA
rnacentral:snRNA from 1 species